rnacentral:rRNA from 1 species
UACGAAUGGGGCAAGCGUUGUUCGGAAUCACUGGGCGUAAAGCGUGUGUAGGCGGUUAAUCAAGUCAGAAGUGAAAAUCCCAGGGCUUAACCCUGGAAUUGCUUUUGAAACUGAUUGGCUAGAGUACUGGAGAGGUUAGCAGAAUUCCGAGUGUAGAGGUGAAAUUCGCAGAUAUUCGGAGGAAUACCAGUGGCGUAAGCGGCUAACUGGACAGUAACUGACGCUGAGACACGAAAGCGUGGGGAUCAAACAGG